rnacentral:antisense_RNA from 1 species
AGCACACAGCACACACGCUGUUGUGAGAGUUCCGUGCUCAUUUCCUUGUGGAUACACCAGGAACUCACUCUGCUGUGACCCUUCAGUACACCUCAUGUUAGGAUUAGAGACAUCUGGGUCAUAUCAGCUGCCACUGUCAUCUUCUAGUCCCUCAAAGUGUCAGCUAAAGAAACAGGCUCAGAGGAUGUUAUCUGAUUGGAUUAUGUUGUAUCUCUGGAGAGCACAGCUGAGAUCAGACUGUGUGUGUGUAACUCCACUAGACUACGAGGGUGCUUCUCAUAAAGGGUUGCAAGAUCAUAGUUCUCGGGGUGUUUAAAGGCAACACCUUCCGGAAGCCCCUGCACUACCACAGCCGACUGGUCUCGCAGCAUCUUCUCAUAUGGUACAGGUACCACUGUGGAUUUGCCUAAAGCUUUCCCUGGGGGAGAUGAAAAGCGGAUGAACAUCAUUCAAUGAAUGGUAAGAUUACAAAAUGAAAUCAUCGCUAGCUUAUUGUGGCUUAAUAAGGGCAUCCACGAUUUUUUAUAAUAUAUGAUUUCAAAAUUAAUUAAUACUACAGCAUUCUAUCUCCCCAUGUCAGCA